rnacentral:lncRNA from 1 species
GUCCUCUCACUCCACCCUAAGAAGCAGAGUGGCCAGGAACAUGUAUACAUCUGAAGAGUUCUUUUUCUUCAUAACUUCACAGCAACAUGACCUACAAUUAUGCAUUUUUCCAGCCUGAGUUUAUCAUUAGUCAUCUUAAUUACGUUCAUUCUGAAGCCAACAGGAGUGUGGAGUUCUUCAUCUGGACAUCCACAGGAAGAAGGAAGACAUGAGGGAACUCUGGAAGAGGAGACAGGCCCCAGAUUUGGGCAGGAAGUGAAUAGUUCUCAGGCUGAGGCCAAUCUAUGCACACCAGGAACCUUCCAAUAUUUCUUCAGCAACAGUGUCCCAGCACUUCACUGGUUCACCUUUUGUGGCCACCAUCCGUGGAUUCCACAGCUACUUAUCGAUGGUGAAUAUUGA